UACGUAGGGUGCAAGCGUUUGUCCGGAAUUAUUGGGCGUAAAGAGCUCGUAGGCGGUCUGUCGCGUCGGCUGUGAAAACUCGGGGCUCAACUCCGAGCUGCAGUCGAUACGGGCAGGCUAGAGUUCGGCAGGGGAGACUGGAAUUCCUGGUGUAGCGGUGAAAUGCGCAGAUAUCAGGAGGAACACCGGUGGCGAAGGCGGGUCUCUGGGCCGAAAUUGACGCUGGAGGAGCGAAAGCGUGGGGAGCAAACAGG
rnacentral:rRNA from 1 species